rnacentral:pre_miRNA from 1 species
UUGCUACUCCCUCCGUUCGGAAUUACUUGUCGCAGAAAUGGAUGUAUCUAGACGUAUUUUAGUUCUAGAUACAUCCAUUUCCGAGACAAGUAAUUCCGAACGGAGGGAGUACUUC